GGCUUCCUGUGCCUCGCGGUGCAAGUCACCUUGCUUGUGCUGCUCAGCGCGAGGCGACACCUGUAGGGCGCGUGGUUGCGACUUCCGCAACAGACUGGUGCCUUUAAAAAAAAAAAUCACAUGCGGAACAGCAAAUGGGCUUACAUCAUUUGCACUAAAGCAAGAGAUGCAGGAGGAUGCUGUUGCUGGAGAAAUGUGCAGACUGAAGAGGACGAAGGGAUGGCCUAAAAGAUUUCGUAUUCCAAGAUUGAAGGCUGACUGAAUUGACUUAACUCCCACUGUGGAUGGACU